GGCCGCGAUGGAACCGGUGUUCCCCCGGGGCUGCAAACCCUGGCGUCCGGACCACAGCGUCCGGAGAUGGGUUCGACUCCCAUCCGCGGCCUCCA
rnacentral:tRNA from 1 species